GCGGAUGGAGCUGACGAGAGUCGCAGAUACCAGGUGGCUGCAACUGUUUAUUAAAAACACAGCACUGUGCAAAAUCGCAAGAUGACGUAUACGGUGUGACGCCUGCCCGGUGCCGGAAGGUUAAUUGAUGGGGUUAGCGCAAGCGAAGCUCUUGAUCGAAGCCCCGGUAAACGGCGGCCGUAACUAUAACGGUCCUAAGGUAGCGAAAUUCCUUGUCGGGUAAGUUCCGACCUGCACGAAUGGCGUAAUGAUGGCCACGCUGUCUCCACCCGAGACUCAGUGAAAUUGAAAUCGCUGUGAAGAUGCAGUGUACCCGCGGCUAGACGGAAAGACCCCGUGAACCUUUACUACAGCUUGGCACUGAACAUUGAACCUACAUGUGUAGGAUAGGUGGGAGGCUAUGAAGACGUGACGCCAGUUGCGUUGGAGCCGUCCUUGAAAUACCACCCUUGUAUGUUUGAUGUUCUAACUUAGCCCCAUUAUCUGGGGUGAGGACAGUGCCUGGUGGGUAGUUUGACUGGGGCGGUCUCCUCCCAAAGAGUAACGGAGGAGCACGAAGGUGGGCUAAUCACGGUUGGACAUCGUGAGGUUAGUGCAAUGGCAUAAGCCCGCUUAACUGCGAGAAUGACGGUUCGAGCAGGUGCGAAAGCAGGUCAUAGUGAUCCGGUGGUUCUGUAUGGAAGGGCCAUCGCUCAACGGAUAAAAGGUACUCCGGGGAUAACAGGCUGAUACCGCCCAAGAGUUCAUAUCGACGGCGGUGUUUGGCACCUCGAUGUCGGCUCAUCACAUCCUGGGGCUGAAGUCGGUCCCAAGGGUAUGGCUGUUCGCCAUUUAAAGUGGUACGCGAGCUGGGUUUAGAACGUCGUGAGACAGUUCGGUCCCUAUCUGCCGUGGGCGUUGGAAGAUUGAAGGGGGCUGCUCCUAGUACGAGAGGACCGGAGUGGACGAACCUCUGGUGUUCGGGUUGUGUCGCCAGACGCAUUGCCCGGUAGCUAAGUUCGGAAUUGAUAAGCGCUGAAAGCAUCUAAGCGCGAAGCGAGCCCUGAGAUGAGUCUACCCUGAUACUUUAAGUAUCCUAAAGGGUUGUUAGAGACUAGAACGUUGAUAGGCAGGGUGUGUAAGCGUUGUGAGGCGUUGAGCUAACCGGUACUAAUUGCCCGUGGGGCUUAAC
rnacentral:rRNA from 2 species